rnacentral:lncRNA from 10 species
AAAAAAAAGAAAAAGAAAAACUAUGACAUCCUAGCGUAACAGCAGCUAAAAUUUAUAGAGUACAAAUUGGAGCCAAGUGCUUUCCACAUGUUAACUCAUUUAAUUCUUACAACUCUACAUCUACAUACUAUUAUUAUCUCCCACUUUACAAAUCAGGAGACCAAGGUAGAGACAAAUUAAAUGACAAGUCCACAGUCAGACACUUGUAAGAGGGAGAGCCAGGAUCUGCAUAGAAAAUGUUAAUAAGGGCCGGGCGCAGUGGCUCAUGCCUGUAAUCCCA